rnacentral:rRNA from 1 species
UACGGGGGGGGCAAGCGUUGUUCGGAAUUACUGGGCGUAAAGGGCUCGUAGGCGGCCAACUAAGUCGGAUGUGAAAUCCCCAAGCUUAACUUGGGAACUGCAUCCGAUACUGGAUGGCUUGAAUCCGGGAGAGGGAUGCAGAAUUCCAGGUGUAGCGGUGAAAUGCGUAGAUAUCUGGAGGAACACCGGUGGCGAAGGCGGCACCCUGGACCGGUAUUGACGCUGAGGCGCGAAAGCGAGGGGAGCAAACGGG